rnacentral:rRNA from 1 species
ACAAGCGGUGGAUGAUGUGGUUUAAUUCGAUGCAACGCGAAAAACCUUACCUACCCUUGACAUGUCAAGAAUUCUGCAGAGAUGUGGAAGUGCUCGAAAGAGAACUUGAACACAGGUGCUGCAUGGCCGUCGUCAGCUCGUGUCGUGAGAUGUUGGGUUAAGUCCCGCAACGAGCGCAACCCUUGUCAUUAGUUGCUACGCAAGAGCACUCUAAUGAGACUGCCGGUGACAAACCGGAGGAAGGUGGGGAUGACGUCAGGUCCUCAUGGCCCUUAUGGGUAGGGCUACACACGUCAUACAAUGGCCGGUACAGAGGGCUGCCAACCCGCGAGGGGGAGCCAAUCCCAGAAAACCGGUCGUAGUCCGGAUCGUAGUCUGCAACUCGACUGCGUGAAGUCGGAAUCGCUAGUAAUCGCGGAUCAGCUUGCCGCGGUGAAUACGUUCCCGGGUCUUGUACACACCGCCCGUCACACCAUGGGAGCGGGUUCUGCCAGAAGUAGUUAGCCUAACCGUAAGGAGGGCGAUUACCACGGCAGGGUUCGUGACUGGGG